ACUCAAAUGAAUUGACGGGGGCCCGCACAAGCGGUGGAGCAUGUGGUUUAAUUCGACGCAACGCGAAGAACCUUACCUGGGCUCGAACGGCUUUGGAAAGACCUUGGAAACAGGGUUUCUCCCGCAAGGGACCGGAGUCGAGGUGCUGCAUGGCUGUCGUCAGCUCGUGUCGUGAGAUGUUGGGUUAAGUCCCGCAACGAGCGCAACCCUUGUCCUGUUUUGGCAUGCCGAAAGGCGCAACUAUCAGGAGACCGCCAGCGAUAAGUUGGAGGAAGGUGGGGAUGACGUCAAGUCAUCAUGGCCUUUAUGUCCAGGGCUACACACGUGCUACAAUGGGCGGUACAAAGCGCUGCGAACCCGCGAGGGGAAGCUAAUCGCAAAAAACCGUCCUCAGUUCGGAUCGCAGGCUGCAACUCGCCUGCGUGAAGCUGGAAUCGCUAGUAAUGGUAUAUCAGAACGAUACCGUGAAUACGUUCCCGGGCCUUGUACACACCGCCCGU
rnacentral:rRNA from 1 species